rnacentral:RNase_P_RNA from 1 species
CAAGCUGGCCAGGCGGCCGCGUCAGUGAAAACUGCCGAGGAACGUCCGGGCUCCACAGGGCACGGUGGUGGGUAACACCCACCCGGGGUGACCCGCGGGAAAGUGCCACAGAAAACAAACCGCCGCAAGGUAAGGGUGAAAAGGUGAGGUAAGAGCUCACCGCGAGCCGGGUGACCGGAUCGGCAUGGUAAACCCCACCGGGAGCAAGAUCAGACAGUCGGCGUCAUGUGCCCGCAUCGGAGAGAUCCGCGCCGACGGGUAGGUCGCAAGAGACCUGCGGCAACGCAGGUCCGAGAUGGAUGGUCGCCACCGGCAUUGGCCGGAACAGAACCCGGCGUAUCGGCCAGCUUGUCCC